GAAGAGCACACUACUUGGUUACCUGGUAAUUAACGCCAACUCUGGAAUCAUGCAUACAAGAGCAUUAUAUGGACUGAGCAGAUUAUAUUUAGAAAUAUAUGUCUAGACAUAAACAUGUAUACAUGUGAUAAUAAUGAAGGAAAAAUAGGCCAUGAGUUUCAAAGAGAGUAAGGAGAGGUAUAUGGUAGGAUUUGGGAGGGAUAAAUGUUGUAAUUAUAUUAUAAUCUUAAAACUUUUCCUGUAACUGGCUCUGUAAACCAGGCUUGGACUUGAACUCACAGAGAUCUGCCUGUCUCUGCCUCCAGAUGCUGGGAUUAAAGGCAUGCACUGCUACUAUUACCCAACUCUGUAAGCCUAAUUUUUAGAAGAUGAAAAAAAAAACUGUCUAUGAUGCCUGAGAUUUAUUUUAAGGGCAUUACAUACUAUGAGAAGCAUCAAGUACUCUUGUAAAAUAUGCAUAACAAGGGAACAAUGAGGAUGAUAGCCGUGGGACAGAAAAGAAAGGAAAUGGAUCAGAGGAGCAUUUCAGAGGCAAUGUCUGUAUGACUUAGCCAGGGGAACUCUGCAGAAGAGAAGGAGGAAAGAUUGUAGGAGUCAGAAGGGUACACCUCAAGAACACAGCCCACAGAACCUAAGUAGACUCAGUGGAUCACAGAAACUAAAGCAAAAACCUUGAAUUAUGUAUGGGUCUGAGCCAGGUCCUCUGGAUGUAUGUGUGGAGAGGCCGCUGAGAGUUCUGUAUUCAGAUCAGUAAGCCACAAGAAAAACCCCAAAGCACACCACAGUGACACUUCCUUCAACAUGGCCAUUCCUACUCCAAAAAGACCACACCUCCCAAUAGUGCUACUCCCUGUGAGCCUAUGGGGGAAGGGACAUUUUCAUUCAAACCACCACAAGGGCCCAUUAUGUUCAAUUGGUGGCAAACAUGAUAUUUUUAUCCUUAUUUUCAAUUUUUCAUCUUUCUGAGGACAGAUAAAGAUGUUCGUAGUUGGCUUCCUUCAAGACUUCAUUAUUUUGUUAUAUUGGCCAAGAUCAUUGAGAAAUAAGUGAUCAAGUAUUUAUCCUAGUGGGAGCUUACCAAGCCUGAGCAUAGGUCGAAGACUUUCAUGUGUGGAGACAGCGUACAGAACCUGUACCAGAUCUGACAGCCUAUAAUCAUAGUAAGCUUAGAGGCUGAGUCUGAAGAACAGUUUGGGGAUGCACAGAAAUGUUUUCAUUUCUUCAACUUUUGAAGAAUAAAAAGAAGAAAUGCAUGUAAUCCUGCUUGGAUUUGUUUUCAUACCAGUGUAAUCAUAGCAUGAUAUUUUAUUUUUAAAUUAUUUGGAUUGUUUUUAGAUCUUUGAAUGGUCCAAGUAAAACCAGCCUGACAAGGAGCUUUGCAUGGGACAUGUGGUGGAGCAGUUCUGCUAGCCCAGAUUCUAGAGUUCAUGUUUGAUUUUGUUUCUGGAGUUGAUUUCUGUAUUUACAUGAUUUUAAAAGCAAUUUGACUGACAUCAGUCCUUUUAUUUUAUUUGCCAAAAAAAAAAAGUUUCCGGAAUAGAGUUGCCUGCUGCCAUCUUCAGUAGCAGAAGGGUCUGUUUGAAUCUACACAAUAGCAAUGGGGGCAUUUCCCCAUUAUUUUAUCACUUUCUUUGCAAUGUGCUGUGUUCUCUAAAAUCCAAAUCCAUUAUUAUUAAAAUGUUAACAUUUUGAUAGCAUUUUAUUAAUGACAAGAACUCCUAAAGGCAAACAGGAUAUAUAUUCACCAAAAUCAUGCUGCCACUCUGAUUGAUGGUCUGAAAGGAUUUAAUUAUGCUUGUCAGCUCUUCACCAUGGUUCAGUUGGUUUUAAAUUGCUCUGACCUGAUUGAAGUUUUUGUGUGCAAAUAAUGGUCACUCUGAGUGUCCACAGGCUAGUGGCUGCUCUUCGUGAAGAUAGUAUGGCUCAUGUGAGGGGUUCUCAACAAGUAGCUCUUGGGCAUCAUCUUUCUGAAGGAAGAUACAAGGUCAUCAACAAGAGUGAUGUCUUGGGACACAGGCUAUUGCUGAAUGACCGCCGUAUGCACUAUCUUAGCUACAGGUAGCAACAGAUGUGACUAUGACAAGAACUGGAUAGCAUCUGUCAGACACACAGGUCUUCCUAUCUAUUGGUCUUUCAGAUAUUAGGAGACAGGAUGUACAGUUGCUUUUACAAUGCAUGACAACUGAUAGCUGAUGCUACUACCAAACACUUUUAGAUUCUAAACCUAAAAUCAAAAUGGCCUAAGUUCUACUUUUAAGUAUAUGAGAGCUAAUCUUUGUUGUCAACUUCUCUACACCUCAAAUCAACUAAAACCCAAGCUGCUGUCCAUUCCUGGGAGGGCCUUUUGUCAUCAGAUCAUUUGAAUCAGGAAGGACCACUGCUACUCCUGUAGCAGUCAAGAAAAAUAAAUGACAUGAAAAAAGAAAAUACUGCUUUUUGCCUGCUUGCCCUCACUUUCCCUGAAAAUUCAUCUAUUUGUUACCACUUCUUUUUCAUUCCAAGGAGACUGAAGACAAGUGGCUCUCUGGGAUUCCAGUGGCAGAUCGGGACUGAUUGUCGAGCUCACACACAAAGCUGCAGCAGAAGCAGGAGGCCCAAAGGGAAGAGGAAGCGAUGAUGUUUAGCUGGAUGGAAAGGACCAAGCUCAAAGUAAGACCUGACGACUAAAAAUGCCUCAACUGUGUUAGCAUAUUUGUUACAAAAUGCCCAUCACAACACUUUUCUCUCAAAGAGGAGGUUGUUUUUGAACUCCUCAGGAAGUGAAAACUACCAAGGACUUGGGACUCAAAUUUGAUGUUGAAACAAGAUUUAUUUUCUGUGUGUCUGUGUGCCUGCAUGUAUGUAUGUAUGUGCACUGUGCGGUCACCUCAUCUCCACAGAAGGCGGAUUCCCCUCAAACUGGAGUCACAGUGAUCCUGAGCUAAUAUGUGUAACCUGGAACCAGCCUGGGAUCUCUGUAAGAGCAACAGGUACUCUUACUACUGAGUCAUCUGUCUAGCUCCUGCAGCUGAACUCUGGAUGCUCCAAAGAUACUUCAUUCAUAUGAAAAUGUGUGUUGAGAUGGAUGUGUUGCCUCUAGUGCAUUGGAAUUACAAUUUCAAUGAGACUUCAACUGUAAUCAAUCCCUAAGAGUGUCUCUCAUGGAGGCUGAGCAGAACAGGAAAUUGGAAAAAUUAUUUUUGCUGAAGGAUUUUGAUUGUUUGCUUUCCUUGUAUAAUUAAUAACAACAAACAAACUUGAUUUUGGAUUCCAACUCCUUUGUGUUGACAUGCUAAUGAACUUAUUUCCAUUUUUAUAGUAACUAUGAAAGCCAACAAAUCAAAAAUUCAUUAAACAAGUGUGCAUUUUAACAGAGGACUGCCCCUCCUUGUCACACUUCGGCCUCUCAAAGGUAACUAACAACUCAAAUAGGAAACACAAGAAUGCUUAUACUGUCUAAAUGUGUGUUCCUAAACACAACAGCCCACUUUUAACUUCGUAUGGAAUUUACAUAACUGAAAGUAUGCACUAUCAUUUUUUACAUAGGCAGUCAGUUCCAAAAUAUUAUGUCUGUGGAGGUAAUAUAUGAAUAGCUGUGGUCUGUUUUCAUAACCAGCUAAGUGCCUGUAGGACCUGCCUGGCUUACUGAUGGUUUGGCUCAGCUGAAAUGCUUCAGCUAUGAGGCUGAACCAUAACAGACAUAAUUUCUCCAUUGAGUAUCUGGAACUUAGUUCUAUGCUCACAUUUAUGGACAAUAGUCCCCUUGAUGAAUCUCAUAUUUUUAUUGUUCUUGGGUAGUAGCCAAUCUCCUAACUGCUUGUCUUCAAUCUUAGAAAAUGCCCUGUUUGGGGCCAUAAACUGUGGAAACAAAUCAUAGUUGCUAAAUUAACUGUCUGUGUGGCUCUCUUAAAUAACCAUGAUAAGGGACCAUUUUUUAUUACACUAAUGAGAUAAGACCAAUUGAGCAGCUCCCUGACUCUGAAAUCACCCAGUUUAUAGACAUUGCUGCCUAGAUUUGUAACCACACCAAAUAUGGCCGCAUAUCCACUGUAAUAGAAUAUGGACAUUCAAAGGAUGUUUUUGUCUUUUGUUGUUAUUGUUGCCAUUAAGGUGACCAUAUGUAGCAUGCAUGUUUCUGGCCCAGCAAGGUUCUGCCAUCCUUGAGCUCUGAAUGAACACUCAGAGACUUAUAUUAAUUAUAAAACUGUUGACCCAUGACUAGGGCUUCUUAUUGGCUAGCUCUGUCGUAACUCUUAGCCUAUUUCUAUUAAUCUAUGUAUUUCCACAUGGUCAUGACUUACCAGAGAACGCCUUGCACAUGCUCUCUUCCCAGGCUCUACAUGAUGACUCUUGUCUGCCUACACUUCCCAGAAUACUCCUCCUCUAAUAGCCCAGCCUAUCUUUCCUGCCUGACCACUAGCCACACAGUGUUUUUUUUAUUCAUCAACCAAUAAGAGAAACAGAUACACAGAAGGACAACCCCUCAACCAUAUAUUUAAUUUCAAAACUAGAAAUACUUUAACAGUAAAAUGUUAAUAAAAUGAAAUUUAACAAUAUUUUGUUAAUUAAAUGAUAUUAUAUAUGUAGACUUGCCAAAUACAUUCAUCCAAAGAUUUUUUAAAAUGAAUAAAUUUAUAGAACACUAAAGUCAGAAAAAAUAGGCAAAUAAAUAAAAGUAAAUGAAAAUAAAAAACAUAUUGUCUGAAUGUUAAAAUACAACAUAAGGGAGCCUGAAAGAUGACUCAGUAGUUAGAAAACAUUGGCUGUUCUUGCAGAAGGCCCAGAUUUGGUUUCCAGCACCCACAAGCAGGCAGCUCCAACCACAUUUAAUUCCAAUUUCACAGGACCCCAUGCUUUCUACUGGCCUUGGUGGGUAGCUGCAUACAUUCAGACACACAUAUACACAAAUAAAAUUAAAAAUUAAUAAACACACAUAUAAUAA